rfam:Musca domestica strain aabys unplaced genomic scaffold Scaffold4458, whole genome shotgun sequence.
UUCGCUUCUCGGCCUUAUGGCUAAGAUCAAAGUGUAGUAUCUCUUCUUAUCAGCUUAACAUCUAUCUGAUAGAUCCUACAUCGGAGGAAAGAAAUGUUAAACUGAUUUUUGGAAAUAGACGGGAUGUUUAGGGGCUUUGCUCCACUCCUGUCCGCUAAUGCUGGCCAACUAACCUGUUUACCUUUAGAAUUAGGACCCUA